UUUCACAAAAUAUCAUUUCUGUCGACUGAGAGUAAUUAUAAAAAUACAACCGCCUCCGUUAACCGUUCCGUCAUCUCUACGUCUUCUUCUUCUUCAUCCCCACUCCCAACUUCUAUCAUUUAUUCACACGUGAUCUCCUCACACUUUCACAAAGAUCGUAUCUCCUCACCAACAAUUUCACCGUAUAACAUUCAGUUACAGUUCACAUCGCACGCGUAGAUGACGGAAAACGGACACGUAUGCUCAUCGGAGACCGUCACCGGCGGCGAAAACGUAUUCAGUUGUAACGAAUCUGAUGUUUCAUCCGCCGAUCAUCUCGUCGUCAUGAUCAAUGGGAUCCUUGGAAGUUCUGCAGAUUGGAAGUUUGCUGCAGAGCAGUUCGUGAAGUCACUACCAGACAAAGUCUUUGUUCACCGCAGUGAAAGAAACGCAGCAUCUCAAACACUGGACGGUGUAGAUGUAAUGGGUGAGCGGUUAUCUGAAGAGGUGCUUGAAGUGAUUAAACAAAAGCCAAAUCUUCGUAAGAUUUCUUUUGUUGCACAUUCUGUGGGAGGCUUAGUGGCAAGAUAUGCUAUUGGGAGAUUGUAUAGACCCCCAAAAGAAAAUACAGAUGAUACGUUAGUUGAAAAUUGCGAGGAAGCAAAGCCCACAAUCGGUGGUUUGAUUCCAGUGAACUUUAUUACUGUUGCAACACCUCAUCUUGGUUCAAGGGGCAAUAAGCAGGUGCCUUUUCUUUUUGGGCUACCUGCCUUAGAAAAAGCUGCGGUUCUUGUUAUACAUUGGAUAUUUAGAAGAACGGGUCGGCACCUUUUCCUCACAGAUAACGAUGAAGGAAAGCCUCCGUUACUUAAACGAAUGCUGGAAGAUUACGAUGAUUGUUAUUUCAUGUCAGCGUUACGUUCAUUCCAGCGCCGGGUAACGUAUGCAAAUGUUGGCUAUGACCAUAUUGUCGGCUGGAGAACUUCAUCAAUCAGGCGUAACAUAGAACUGCCAAAGUGGCAGGAAUCGGUAAAUGAGAAGUAUCCUCAUGUUGUAUAUGAAGAACGCUGCAAGGGAUUUGAUUUUGAGCUGGAUUCGACAAAUGACGAUAAUGCAGAUGACGUGGAAGAGGAAUUGGUGACCGGUCUUUCUCGUGUAUCAUGGGAAAAAGUCGAUGUCAGCUUUCAUAAUAGUAGAUCCAGGUUUGCUGCUCAUAGUGUUAUUCAGGUGAAAAAUCACAACCUGCAUACAGACGGGGCAGAUGUUAUUCAACAUAUGAUCGAUCAUUUUUGCCUUUAAAGCUCCUGCCAGUUGUAUAAUAUUCAAAUGUACUGGCUUAUAUGUCGUUUCUAAUUAAAGGAACAAAAGAUUGCCCAUUGAACAUACAAGUUUCACAUCUUAAGGAUUUACAAAACAUAUGAGAGUUGUUACAAACUAUGUAUUUUAUUGUAUUGGAAAAUGCUAGUUGGUCGUUUAAAUAUCUAUUGGUGUCUUGGUGCCUAUGUUGCUUUUCUGUUUAGCUAAAUAUGUAACAUGUCCAAAAAAACAUUUAAACAUAUGAUUACAUAUAUUUUUGAUAGUUUAAUUUUUA